UGGUGAGGUAACGGCUCACCAAGGCGACGAUGCGUAGCCGACCUGAGAGGGUGAUCGGCCACACUGGGACUGAGACACGGCCCAGACUCCUACGGGAGGCAGCAGUAGGGAAUCUUCCGCAAUGGACGAAAGUCUGACGGAGCAACGCCGCGUGAGUGAUGAAGGUUUUCGGAUCGUAAAGCUCUGUUGUUAGGGAAGAACAAGUGCAAGAGUAACUGCUUGCACCUUGACGGUACCUAACCAGAAAGCCACGGCUAACUACGUGCCAGCAGCCGCGGUAAUACGUAGGUGGCAAGCGUUGUCCGGAAUUAUUGGGCGUAAAGGGCUCGCAGGCGGUUUCUUAAGUCUGAUGUGAAAGCCCCCGGCUCAACCGGGGAGGGUCAUUGGAAACUGGGAAACUUGAGUGCAGAAGAGGAGAGUGGAAUUCCACGUGUAGCGGUGAAAUGCGUAGAGAUGUGGAGGAACACCAGUGGCGAAGGCGACUCUCUGGUCUGUAACUGACGCUGAGGAGCGAAAGCGUGGGGAGCGAACAGGAUUAGAUACCCUGGUAGUCCACGCCGUAAACGAUGAGUGCUAAGUGUUAGGGGGGAUCC
rnacentral:rRNA from 2 species